rnacentral:lncRNA from 1 species
ACCAACAAAGACAAGAAACAGAUGUACUCUUCAACAAGUCAAAGGUACAUGUUUGAAGGAGAGUCGUGAAAAAAGUGAUAAAGGUUGCAAGGCACAGGAGAAGAUGGGUGAUGUCAAGCACAAAAAGUGACAUGAAACCUGUUGUCUGUGACUCUCAACAUGUUAUCAACUGCAUAAUUAGAGAAAUGGUAACUGACAGGUUAACAGAUGGAAAACCCUGCUGCUCUGCUUUAGUAAAAGAAUCUUGCAGGAUGCAUUUUUGUACAACAAAGCUCAAAAGGUCAAGAUGAAAAAGAAUUGAUAUUGGUGAAAAACAUACUAUGAAGAAAUUAAACUGGGAUUUGAUUUUGUAUUGCUUGUUACAAGUUAAAUUAUAGUAACAGAAACUAAGUAUAAUCUUGUUGUAGGGAUACCUCUG